GUGCUUUCUUCAGCAACACAUAUACUAAAAUGAUUGGCAUAGCCCUUGCACAAGGAUGACAUGCAAAUUUGUGAAAGGUUCCUUAUUUAU
ensembl:snRNA U6 U6 spliceosomal RNA